rnacentral:rRNA from 1 species
CAGUCGAACGGAGCGCCGGACACGGACUAUUUCGGUAGGAAGCGUGCGGUGGCUUAGUGGCGGACGGGUGAGUAACGCGUGGAUAACCUGCCGCAUACCGGGGGAUAACAGCUGGAAACAGCUGCUAAUACCGCAUAUGCCCGCAGUGCCGCAUGGCACAGCGGGGAAAACUCCGGUGGUAUGCGAUGGGUCCGCGUCUGAUUAGGCAGUUGGCGGGGUAACGGCCCACCAAACCGACGAUCAGUAGCCGGCCUGAGAGGGCGGACGGCCACACUGGGACUGAGACACGGCCCAGACUCCUGCGGGAGGCAGCAGUGGGGAAUAUUGCACAAUGGGGGAAACCCUGAUGCAGCGACGCCGCGUGAAGGAAGAAGUAUCUCGGUAUGUAAACUUCUAUCAGCAGGGAAGAAAACAGACGGUACCUGACUAAGAAGCCCCGGCUAACUACGUGCCAGCAGCCGCGGUAAUACGUAGGGGGCAAGCGUUAUCCGGAUUUACUGGGUGUAAAGGGGGCGCAGACGACCAUGGCAAGCCCGGUGUGAAAGCAGGGGCAUAACCCCUGGACUGCACUGGGAACUGUCAGGCUGGAGUGCCGGAGGGGUAAGCGGAAUUCCUGGUGUAGCGGUGAAAUGCGUAGAUAUCAGGAGGAACACCGGCGGCGAAGGCGGCUUACUGGACGGCAACUGACGUUGAGGCCCGAAAGCGUGGGGAGCGAACAGGA